AACGAACGCUGGCGGCAUGCCUAACACAUGCAAGUCGAACGAGACCUUCGGGUCUAGUGGCGCACGGGUGCGUAACGCGUGGGAACCUGCCCUUAGGUUCGGAAUAACUCCCCGAAAGGGGUGCUAAUACCGGAUAAUGUCUUCGGACCAAAGAUUUAUCGCCUUUGGAUGGGCCCGCGUUGGAUUAGCUAGUUGGUAGGGUAAAAGCCUACCAAGGCGACGAUCCAUAGCUGGUCUGAGAGGAUGAUCAGCCACACUGGGACUGAGACACGGCCCAGACUCCUACGGGAGGCAGCAGGGGGGAAUAUUGGACAAUGGGCGAAAGCCUGCUCCAGCACUGCCGGGGGGGUGAUGAAGGCCUUGGGGUUGUAAAGCUCUUUUACCCGGGAUGAUAAUGACAGUACCGGGAGAAUAAGCCCCGGCUACCUCCGU
rnacentral:rRNA from 1 species